AUUAGCCUGCUCGCAGCCUGAAAUUUAGAAGGGAAAAAUUUCUGAUAUUUUCCCCUUCUAAAUUUCAGGCUGCGAGCAGGCUAGGA